rnacentral:rRNA from 1 species
UGCGAAGGGUGCAAACGUUGCUCGGAAUUAUUGGGCGUAAAGCGCACGUAGGCGGCAUGGCAAGUCGGAUGUGAAAUCCCUCGGCUCAACCAAGGAAGUGCAUCCGAAACUGCUGUGCUUGAGUACGAAAGAGGAUCGCGGAAUUCCCGGUGUAGAGGUGAAAUUCGUAGAUAUCGGGAGGAACACCAGUGGCGAAGGCGGCGAUCUGGGUCGAUACUGACGCUGAGGUGCGAAAGCGUGGGGAGCAAACAGG